GAUGAACGCUGGCGGCGUGCCUAAUACAUGCAAGUCGAGCGAACGGACGAGAAGCUUGCUUCUCUGAUGUUAGCGGCGGACGGGUGAGUAACACGUGGAUAACCUACCUAUAAGACUGGGAUAACUUCGGGAAACCGGAGCUAAUACCGGAUAAUAUUUUGAACCGCAUGGUUCAAAAGUGAAAGACGGUCUUGCUGUCACUUAUAGAUGGAUCCGCGCUGCAUUAGCUAGUUGGUAAGGUAACGGCUUACCAAGGCAACGAUGCAUAGCCGACCUGAGAGGGUGAUCGGCCACACUGGAACUGAGACACGGUCCAGACUCCUACGGGAGGCAGCAGUAGGGAAUCUUCCGCAAUGGGCGAAAGCCUGACGAAGCAACGCCGCGUGAGUGAUGAAGGUCUUCGGAUCGUAAAACUCUGUUAUUAGGGAAGAACAUAUGUGUAAGUAACUGUGCACAUCUUGACGGUACCUAAUCAGAAAGCCACGGCUAACUACGUGC
rnacentral:rRNA from 1 species